rfam:Lepisosteus oculatus linkage group LG21, whole genome shotgun sequence.
CAAUAGUAAUCCUGCUCAGUACGAGAGGAGCCCCAGGUUCAGACACGGGCUUGGCUGAGGAGCCAAUGGGGAGAAGCUGCCAUCUGUGGGAGGGUGACUGAAUCCCUCCAAGUCUUAAUUCCCCUCUAAACGG